rnacentral:lncRNA from 1 species
AAGAGAAAAUUCAUAAAAGAAAAUAGAAAAUCAAUGAAAUAAAAUUUGGAAAAAUAAAAAUCAAAUGAAGAAAAAUAAAAGAGAAUUUUAGAAAUUAUUUUGGGAUUUUUUGGAUAAAAAAUGAAAUUACUACCAAAUUUUAAAGAAAAAACAAUUUAAAAUAAUAAAAGAAAAAUAAUCAAAACCAUAAAAAAAAACCAUGAGCGUUGGAUCAUGC